rnacentral:rRNA from 1 species
GAUGAACGCUGGCGGCGUGCCUAAUACAUGCAAGUCGAGCGAACGGACGAGAAGCUUGCUUCUCUGAUGUUAGCGGCGGACGGGUGAGUAACACGUGGAUAACCUACCUAUAAGACUGGGAUAGCUUCGGGAAACCGGAGCUAAUACCGGAUAAUAUUUUGAACCGCAUGGUUCAAAAGUGAAAGACGGUCUUGCUGUCACUUAUAGAUGGAUCCGCGCUGCAUUAGCUAGUUGGUAAGGUAACGGCUUACCAAGGCAACGAUGCAUAGCCGACCUGAGAGGGUGAUCGGCCACACUGGAACUGAGACACGGUCCAGACUCCUACGGGAGGCAGCAGUAGGGAAUCUUCCGCAAAGGGCGAAAGCCUGACGGAGCAACGCCGCGUGAGUGAUGAAGGUCUUCGGAUCGUAAAACUCUGUUAUUAGGGAAGAACAUAUGUGUAAGUAACUGUGCACAUCUUGACGGUACCUAAUCAGAAAGCCACGGCUAACUACGUG